AGCUGGUCCAAUAGUAGUGGGUUAUCAGAAGUUAUUAACAUUAGUGUCACUAAAGCUAGUAUACAACUGCCUACUGCUGAAUUUGACUAGCUUAAA
ensembl:misc_RNA Y_RNA Y RNA